rnacentral:rRNA from 1 species
GGCCUGCCCGCUGACGUAUAUUAAGUUGAAGGGCCGCGGUAUUUUGACCGUGCAAAGGUAGCAUAGUCAUUAGUUCUUUAAUUGUGAUCUGGUAUGAAUGGCUUGACGAGACAUGGGCUGUCUUAAGGUGUGGAAUUUGUUGUUGAAUUUUGAGUUUGAGUUAAAAUUCUUAGAUGUUUUUAUGGGACGAGAAGACCCUAUAGAGUUUGACAUUUGAUUGCGUAUGUCUUGUUGUUUGUUUUAAAUUUUUGCGUGUCUUUUGUUUUGUUGGGGUGAUGGGAGGAAUUUAUUUAACUCCUCUUUUUGUGUAGUAUAUUGAUGUAUAUGUAUGUUGAUCCAUUUAUUUUGAUUGUAAGAUUAAAUUACCUUA